rnacentral:lncRNA from 1 species
UACACACCCUUAUCACGAGCCCACCAGAUCAUCUCUCUCGUGCGCCCCACACAAGAGAUACUUAAUAACUAGAGUGGAACCCUCGUCAGUACGGUCACCAACGAGCCACGAAAUUUUAGCCGUAUCAUAACAGGGUGGCCGUAUUUGAAAUCGGGGCGGGGUCAAAUUUCAUGGCUUGUCCAUUUUAACUGACUUCUUGACAGUGAUAUAUCACAAUUGCAAAAAGAGUACCGCUCGUUAUUGUUUCUCGAUAUUUGUUUUGUUUGGUCUAUUGUGAAUUUUCAAAAAUGCGUAUUUGGUUCAAGUGGCGUGCUAACGGGGUAAAAUUUUAAAGGAUCAUACAGGUUGGGAUUUGAGAAUGUGACCGUUAGCCGUGUUAACGGGGUUUUCUUAGAAGAACAUAUAUGGGCGUUUCGCCGUGAAAAAAAUAAAAGUGGCCGUAACUGAACGAGGUGACCGUAAGGCAGGUUCCACUGUGAUCACUAAAUGAACUCUUAAUUUGACCCGCAAGAUUUGACGGGUGUUGCAGAUUCUCAAUGGUACCCAAUUAUUCAGUCCAACGGGUUGAAGUGACAUCGUUACGCUCAAUUCGCUUUAAAUGAGCUGACAUAUCUUUACUUGAGAAGAAUCUUUUAAAGGAACGUCUGAAAAUUUAUCUGCGCGGGUAAAUAUCCAAUUCGAAUUCGAAGUAAAGACAUAUUUUUUGCCUCGUUCUUUGCAACAAAUACCUGUCAAAGAGCAUGUUGAAAACAGGACCAAAGUAAUUACAUAUUGAUUCGUUCAAAUUGUUAUUCCAAUGAUUCUUUAGCAGGUUAAAAAAUUUUGCCGAGUCAAUCGGUCGAAAUAUCCCAAUUUAAAAUUCAGGUCUCGUUUGGCGCUAAACAUUCAACACCGCUAAUCUGUUCCGUGGCAAGAAAGUCAUUUUCACACGUCAGUCACUAAUCAGGAUGAGUGACUACACAACCAAGAGGCUAUAUGUCCCUCCCUUACUCUGGCUUGUCGCCCUGGCGAUUCUCUCUCAUUCAAGGUGUGUCUCGGCCGUCAGACGCCAGGGGUCCCCAAUGGUGAUGGACCCGUGUUCUAUGAAAUGCCAAACUGCAGUAUUGAGUCCUUGCGUUGCGAAAUGCGGAGUAGAUGUCGAAUGCCAGCAGGAAUGCAAAGAGGAUUUUAACAAGUGCCUUGAUGAGUGUCAUGCAAAAAUCAAGAAGGAGAAAAAACGAGAUUGAAGUAAUCGUAAUUGUAGACUUUUGUUGGCAUGGUAACAAUUUCAGCACCAAGAAUCAAGACCAAGUCGAUUCUCUCCAUAAUAUCUUAUAUAUGUGUGAUCAUCUUAAUAUGCUUUUCAAUGAAUUAAUACUCUAACGGGAAUUUAAUAUUCACAUGAAUCGAGAGCCUAUGUUCACCAACUUGGUAGGUACCAAGUCUUGUUCUCAAACACUGUAAUUCUUCAUCUAUAGCGUUUGAAUAGCACUGAGUUUUGGCUGUGUUCAAAGUUGUUCAAGGUUACUAGCUCAUACAUAGUCAUUCUGUAUUCUCUUCCUACCUGUUCGUCUUAGCCGGCGGGUCCUUAGUACGAAGAAAAGGUUGCUCUCGAGACACGUGAUUUGAUUGAAUAGAUUCUUACAUUACUAUUUUCUUUGAUUCAACGAUGAUGCAAUUCCUUCCAAAAACUAUCCACUGUUCGAUUCGAAACAUAUUUACCUCCCUCUGGACAACCUGUAUUUCUACUGCAUCUACAUUUGUACGCUAAGUUACAAUAUUUUAAUACCAACCAAGAGGAACUGAUACAAGCGACGUUUACGUUAUCCUUCUCAAUAUCUUUGUUAAAAUUAAACACAAGGACGUUCGCGCCCAUCAUGUGCGCAUCCUUAUUGCCCACGUGA